AGAUGGAGACAUCCAGUAUGGUUUUCCGUAAAGGGAGACCAGCGAGGCCCAGAGAGAGAGGCACGGGCUGAGUUAGAUGGAGACAUCCAGUAUGGUUUUCCGUAAAGGGAGACCAGCGAGGCCCAGAGAGAGAGGCACGGGCUGAGUUAGAUGGAGACAUCCAGUAUGGUUUUCCGUAAAGGGAGACCAGCGAGGCCCAGAGAGAGAGGCACGGGCUGAGUUAGAUGGAGACAUCCAGUAUGGUUUUCCGUAAAGGGAGACCAGCGAGGCCCAGAGAGAGAGGCACGGGCUGAGUUAG